GACGAACGCUGGCGGCGUGCCUAAUACAUGCAAGUCGAGCGAAUUUACGAGAGCUUGCUCUCGUAAAUUAGCGGCGGACGGGUGAGUAACACGUGGGCAACCUGCCUAUAAGACUGGGAUAACUUCGGGAAACCGGAGCUAAUACCGGAUAAUUCACAUCUACUCAUGUAGAUGUGCUGAAAGACGGUUUACGCUGUCACUUAUAGAUGGGGCCCGCGGCGCAUUAGCUAGUUGGUGAGGUAACGGCUCACCAAGGCCACGAUGCGUAGCCGACCUGAGAGGGUGAUCGGCCACACUGGGACUGAGACACGGCCCAGACUCCUACGGGAGGCAGCAGUAGGGAAUCUUCCGCAAUGGACGAAAGUCUGACGGAGCAACGCCGCGUGAGUGAUGAAGGUUUUCGGAUCGUAAAACUCUGUUGUUAGGGAAGAACAAGUACCGGAGUAACUGCGGUACCUUGACGGUACCUAACAGAAAGCCACGGCUAACUACGUGCCAGCA
rnacentral:rRNA from 1 species